UUUUAUUUAUAUGAAAAAUAUGUUGCAGAAUGCUUAAGGUAUUAGACAAUAUUUUCAUCAGAGCUAAUAAUUACUUCUUCCCCUUUUUGUCAGAAUCAAAAAGACAUAGUAGAAAAAAUAAGUAAAGAGAAAAAAAAUAAAGAGAAAAACUGGAAUUCGUAGAUAGAAGCACAAAGGCAACAAGAAAAACAUCAGAGUCAGAGAGAUAGC
rnacentral:lncRNA from 1 species